rnacentral:rRNA from 1 species
CGGGUGAGUAACACGUGGGUGAUCUACCCCAAAGUCUGGGACAACUAGGGGGAAACCUUAGCUAAUCCCGGAUGGUGAGGCUUCUCCUGUGAAGUCUCUAAAGAUUUAUCGCUUUGGGAUGAGCCCGCGGCGCAUCAGCUAGUUGGUGGGGUAAUGGCCUACCAAGGCGACGACGCGUAGCUGGUCUGAGAGGACGACCAGCCACAGGAGCACUGAGACACGGGCUCCACUCCUACGGGAGGCAGCAGUUAGGAAUCUUCGUCAAUGGGCGAAAGCCUGAACGAGCGACGCCGCUUGAGGGACGAAGCCCUUCGGGGUGUAAACCUCUGAACAGGGGACGAUGAUGACGGUACCCUGCUAAUAGCACCGGCUAACUCCGUG